rnacentral:rRNA from 1 species
UACGUAGGGGCUAGCGUUGUCCGGAUUUAUUGGGCGUAAAGAGCGUGUAGGCGGCCAGCUAGGUCUGCUGUGAAAACUCGAGGCUCAACCUCGAGAUGUCGGCGGAAACCAUCUGGCUAGAGUCCGGAAGAGGAGAGUGGAAUUCCCGGUGUAGCGGUGAAAUGCGCAGAUAAGUCGGGAACGAACACCCGUGGCGAAGGCGGCGUCUCUGGGACGGUGACUGACGCUGA